rnacentral:rRNA from 1 species
UACGGCUACCUUGUUACGACUUAGUCCCAGUCACCAGCCUCGCCGUGGGCACCACUGAUUCGUGGCGACUUAAGGCGCUGCCAGCUUCCAUGACUUGACGGGCGGUGUGUACAAGGCUCAGGAACGUAUUCACCGCGGCGUAGCUGAUCCGCGAUUACUAGCGAUUCCAACUUCAUGCAGGCGAAUUGCAGCCUGCAAUCUGAACUGGGGCGGGCUUUUACGUUUUGCUCCACCUCGCGGUAUUGCAUCGCUCUGUACCCGCCAUUGUAGCACGUGUGCAGCCCUGGGCAUAAAGGCCAUGCGGACUUGACGUCGUCCCCACCUUCCUCCGACUUGACGCCGGCGGUCUCGCUAGAGUCCCCGCCAUUACGCGCUGGCAACUAGCGACAGGGGUUUCGCUCGUUAAAGGACUUAACCUAACACCUCACGGCACGAGCUGACGACAGCCAUGCAGCACCUGUGCACGUUCCACCCGAAGGCGUCAUCCCGGUUUCUCGGGACUAAUCCGUGCAUGUCAAACCCAGGAUAAGGUUCUUCGCGUUGCUUCGAAUUAAGCCACAUGCUCCACCGCUUGUGUGAGCCCCCGUCAAUUCCUUUGAGUUUUAGCCUUGCGACCGUACUCCCCAGGCGGUGCACUUAACACUUUUGC